rnacentral:rRNA from 1 species
GACGGAGGGUGCAAGCGUUAUCCGGAAUUAUUGGGCGUAAAGCGUCCGCAGGUGGCAGUUCAAGUCUGCUGUCAAAGACCGGGGCUUAACUUCGGAAAGGCAGUGGAAACUGAACAGCUAGAGUAUGGUAGGGGCAGAGGGAAUUCCUGGUGUAGCGGUGAAAUGCGUAGAGAUCAGGAAGAACAUCGGUGGCGAAGGCGCUCUGCUGGACCAUAACUGACACUCAGGGACGAAAGCUAGGGGAGCGAAUGGG